rnacentral:rRNA from 1 species
GCAGGCACGCAAAUUACCCACUCCCGGCACGGGGAGGUAGUGACAAAAAAUAACGAUACGGGACUCUUUUGAGGCCCCGUAAUCGGAAUGAGUACACUUUAAAUCCUUUAACAAGGAUCCAUUGGAGGGCAAGUCUGGUGCCAGCAGCCGCGGUAAUUCCAGCUCCAAUAGCGUAUAUUAAAGUUGUUGCGGUUAAAAAGCUCGUAGUUGGUUCUGCGUGCCACGCUGUUGGUUCGCCGCCUGUCGGUGUAACUGGCAUGUCGUGGUAUGUCCUGUCGGUGGCGCGCGGGAGCCUUGUCUAGGUGGCGGCUCGAGCCAAAAGCUCGGUGUCGUCGUCCGGAGGUCCAACCCGUGCGCCUAUCUAUCCUACCUAGGUGCUUUUAAUCGAGUGUCGAGGUAGGCCGACACGUUUACUUUGAACAAAUUAGAGUGCUCAAAGCAGGCUGAAAUCUCUGCCUGAAUAGUGGUGCAUGGAAUAAUAAAACAGGACCUUGGUUCUAUUUUGUUGGUUCUUAGGAACACAAGGUAAUGAUCAAUACGGACAGGCGGGGGCAUUCGUAUUGCGACGUUAGACUUGGCAAAUGCUUUCGCGGUGAAAUUCUUGGAUCGUCGCAAGACGCACAAGAGCGAAAGCAUUUGCCAAGUAUGUCUUGAUUGAUCAAGAACGAAAGUUAGAGGUUCGAAGGCGAUCAGAUACCGCCCUAGUUCUAACCAUAAACGAUGCCAGCCAGCGAUCCGCCGAUGUUCCUCCGAUGACUCGGCGGGGAGCUUCUUCCCGGGAAACCAAAGCUUUUGGGUUCCGGGGGAAGUAUGGUUGCAAAGCUGAAACUUAAAGGAAUUGACGGAAGGGCACCACCAGGAGUGGAGCCUGCGGCUUAAUUUGACUCAACACGGGAAACCUCACCAGGCCAGGACAUUGGAAGGAUUGACAGAUUGAUAGCUCUUUCUUGAUUCAGUGGGUAGUGGUGCAUGGCCGUUCUUAGUUGG